CAGAGAAUCUGUUGCAACACGGCCUACAGAGACCCCUGUCACUUGGAAUUCACCAGGUUAUUUUUCCAGAGGACCUGUUGCAACACGGGCUACAGAGACCCCUGUCACUUGGAAUUCACCAGGUUAUUUUUCCAGAGGACCUGUGGCAACACGGGCUACAGAGACCCCUGUCACUUGGAAUUCACCAGGUAAGUUACCAACCAAAGGAGAUGGGUAAUAGAUUUCCAGCCAUUAGUAUCAUAUCUGUGUAUUUAAUAAG
rnacentral:lncRNA from 1 species